GAUUUCGGGUGGGGUGGUGCGGUCCGCCUCUGGUGUGCACUGCUCCGCUCCACCUUCCUGCCGGGGACGGGCUCCUUGGGCUUUACCGCCCGGGACUCGGAGUCGGCGAUGUUACUUUGAGUAAAUUAGAGUGUUCAAAGCAGGCCUACGCUCUGAAUACAUUAGCAUGGAAUAACACGAUAGGACUCUGGCCUAUCUGUUGGUCUGUGGGACCGGAGUAAUGAUUAAGAGGGACAGUCGGGGGCAUUCGUAUUCCGUUGUCAGAGGUGAAAUUCUUGGAUUUACGGAAGACGAACUACUGCGAAAGCAUU
rnacentral:rRNA from 1 species